UUGAACUCAAGACCUUUGGAAGAGCAGGCAAUGCUCUUAACCACUGAGCCAUCUCUCCAGCCCCCUCAAAUGAGUCUUUUAAAGAACCGGGCCUAGGCUGGGGAAGCUCAGCUACCAGCUCCAGGAUGCCAGGCCUUGUCAUCCUCCUGGUUUCAUAGUUCUCUUUCAAAGAAUAAUAUCAUUUUACGUAGUUUGUGGUGAAAGUUUAAUAUUAGGGUAUAAUGCCAUGCUCUGAGCUCAAUGGAGAAUCUUAUUCUUCUCUUCCAUGGCAAAGGGUAAAAGGAAGCCCACCUGAUCAGACCUUCCCAUGGGCCUCCGGGACACAGCUGGAUCUUGUAGAAUAUUAUUUUAAGAUGUGUUACACUUGUUUAUGCUGUGGAACAUUUAUUUAACGAUGCAAAGAGCCAAUCCGAAGAGCUGGGCACCUGAACACCUGCCCCACCAACUGUGAAGGAGAGGGCAGCACCUGCAAAGGUCAAAGGUCUUAUCCUUGAAACUCCAGCUCUUUCAAGUUCAUACUCAAAGAGUAGCGUGGCUAUGCUGGGGCUUGGUCCUGACCCAUGAGAGCUUUAACUCGACAGUCAAUGAGCUAACCCGACAGUUCCAGAAAGUGAGUUCUACUCCACACUGGUUAUGAGAAACCGAUGACUCCUUGCUUGGAGAUGGUAAACACCCCCAGACCCCCAUGGCUGUCCCUCCUUUGCUCCAAAGCAAGCACUUCCUGGGCUUCUGCUUUCAUGCCCAGCUGAGGUGGGAGGGUGCGGGGAGGGGGAUGCUAGAACCAAGGACCUGGAUGGGAACGUCAUCAAGCCUCUGGGCCAGCUGUAGCCACAGGCUUGGGGGCUGCUUUCAUAAUGACAUCUGAAUAUCCAAAAGAGCACUUCAGUAUUGUUCCAAGGCAGCCACUGGGCUGACUUCAAGGAGGACAGUGGCGGCAACAGGACAUCAACAUUAACAGUGUAAGUGUCAGAGAUGAGGGUCUGUGCUCAGAGCUUUAAGGACAUAAGCCCACAAAACUCUGAUGUGACAACUGAGGAAACCGAGGUCUAGUGAAUCACAUCCCUGUGGAAUGAGGAAGCCAGGAGUGGGACCCAGGCUGUCUGACCUCAUCCCUCCGUGCGCAUAGACCGACUCUCAGAGCUGCGGAUGAAUGAUGAAUACAGUCUUUCAGACACUCGCUGCAGAUGUGAGGGUCUGUCUGCCAUCAGGGACAAGCAGGACAUAUAGGGCAUGUACAGUCUUUCGUGGUGUCACCACAGUGAGGUGUCGUGUUCAGGGAGGCCACGGACUUGCUGGAGGACAUUUGGCAAGCUGAAAAAAUGGACUUUAAUCAUUGUGUUUGGUCAUCCAAGAAAGGAGCCAGGCUCUCAAGCAGGACACAGCCUCUCUGAACACACAGCACUGAACAAAGGCUCAGGAGCAGAGGAAAGAAGAGGUAACAGUCUACACCUCCGCAUCUGCGUGCCCACAGGCAACCCUGCCUUCUCCAGAGAAGCUGGGCCUUUCCCCUUUGUCAAAAUAGGACAAUGUGGGGAGCACGGGAUUCCUGACUGGAGGUCAGGCCAAGGGCCAGGGCUGUAGCUCAGGGGAAGAGUGCUUGCCUAACAUGCACGAAGAAAAACGCGGAUUGGAGUUGCUUCGACAAACAGGGGUCCAGUCCAUUUCCUCAAAGGUUGUGCCUGCCUGUAACUAGCUACCUGGCAUGGAGUGGGUGUGUGCUGGGCAUUACCCAGAAUUCUCAGGCAUUUCCACCGUUCCUUCUUUCCCAGGGAGCUUUGUUCCUCUAGGUAUAGCGAGGCUCUCUCAACAAAGGGGCACCUGUGGCGACCGGAGACUCACCGAAGCAGCUGUCCUGAGCGUGGGUAAUGGAGGAGGCUGCCGCGACGUGGGAGGUGGAGCGAUCUUUCUUGAGCCGGUCCACAGCGAAAAGGCUCGCCUAGUGGAGAAGCCACUUCAGCGUUCUCUUCUUUGCCACCCCACGAGCAAAUUUCUUGAAUUUCAGUCCCCACACACUGCUGUGUGUGAUGGCAAGAACUCUUCCCACACCCCCAUUUCUUUGUUUUUGUAGCCAGAGUCAUCCAAAGGAGGCAGAGAGACAGUAAUGGCCGAGCCUCUGGGAGGGGUUGGUGUGGUUCCUCAGGUUACCCAUCCCCUUUGCCCUUCACUUGCCUGUUUCUCCUCACUCAGUUUCUCUGCACACAGAACUCCAGGGAGUGAUGGGGCUUGAACCCAGGUCUUCAAACAAGCUAUGCAUACCUCCACCGCUGAGCUAACUACACCUCCAGUUCUCCUGUUCUGUCUUGUUUGCUUUGUGUCACAGUCUUAAGUGAUCAGCGGGGUUCCAUCUCCACUGUAGUUAAGACUAUGGGUAUAUGCCACUGUGCCCACCUAGGGAUAAAUAAAUUAUAUAUAU